rnacentral:lncRNA from 1 species
AUGGCGCUCGCCCUCGCCCUCCUGCCGCUGCUGCUCCUGCCCCGGGGUGCGGGGACUCUUGGACGUCCUCAGAGUCAAGUGGUUCUCGUGACCGAAGGGGAGCCUGUGGUGAUGGAGUGUCCUUUCCGCGAGCACAAUGUCAGCGGUGAUUACUUCGAUGAGUUCGUCUGGAGCCAUAGGAACAUCUCGAGAAGGAUCCUGCAGUUUAGGAUGGUGCAGCCCAAUGCCUCCUGUGUGCAUCGCAGCGAAGGUCACUUCAGCGGCACUGUGGAUUAUGAAAGGAGCGUGAGCUUUCUCAACAUCUCAGAGGUGCUUAUGAACGACACUGGCCCUUACCACUGCUAUGUGAAGAUAGGGAACAGCAACCCGACCGAAAAGGUGGCUCACCUGCUCGUUAGAGGUCGGCAGCCGUGGGCAGCCUCUGGGGGCCUCAGCUUGUCUGAACCUCCAGGAGGCAAAGUCACCUUGGACUGUGACUUCCCCACCAAGCUGCCCGGCAGCUUCACCUACCUCUUUUGGCUGCACGAGCAAGACCAGAGCCCACCCCGACUUGUGGCGUGGCACCUCACGUCCAGUUUCCAGAACAACAGCGGCAGCACUGGAAGUCGUUUCCAGAGCGUAUUUGACCUGGAAAAUCACUGGAGCCAUCUCACCAUUACCGGGCUGGAAGAGAAGGACAGCGGCUGGUACCAGUGUGAGGGCCUGGGAGAGCUUUCAGGCUGGCAGAGAGGGACGAGAACCCACCUCGCUGUGCAAGGCUCCUCGGCUGGCCUGCUGGUUGUUUUGGGGAGUGUUGCGUUUGUCGUCAUGGCUCUGUGCUCUUACUUUCUGUACAAGCACCACAAGAAGCUGAGGAGGCAGCGCACCGUGCAGGACACUUCGGAUCCCAGCCACAGGCACGCAGAGGACAGCACGAGGCAGCCUGCAGGCGGGGAAGCUGUCAGUGCCAGUGUUGGCAGCACGGCAGAGUACAGCCUCCUCACUUUCCCGGGAAGGAACACCGCUGCAGGGGACUGGGGACAACGAUGACAGUUCAGGAAGACCUAGUGGGACACGGGGAGCUGUGCUGCGCUUCCUGUACUUGUGGUACUGUGAAUAGUUCCCCUCCACUGCGUAUCAUGCAAAGGUCCCUAGCAAAGCCUUCUCUCCCUUGAUGGUUGUUUUUUGUAUUCAAUUAAAGCCUCUCAAGGACAGACUGUGUACAUUCAGUCUCUGCUCUACCUGGCUGUUCUGGCUGCCUGUGGAGCUGGCUUUCAGCUGCUCUGUGUCCAGCCUGGCUCAGCCCAACCCUUGUACCAUCCUCUGGGGCUGAUGCUACCCACCAGGCACAGCCACAUCCUCCUCCCGUGGAGGAAAAGCCUGGCAGCUCUGCAGGUUGAAGUAAGGCCUGCAUGGGGACUCCUCUAACCCAGGGCAGCAGAGAGGUGCUGAUGUCUCUGUUCCUGUCGCUGUCCUAUCAAUAAAAUGCUCCAACACUGCA